AUACAGUAAUCUAGCAUUAGUUUGUACUGGGCUGUUAUAAAGCUGUACGUCUUAUCACCGGGUCGGAGGCAGGAAAAGGAUGAAAGACCCCCCAAUCACCUUAUUAACACUUGUGUUACACUCACAGGGACUAUGAGAAGGAUUUAUUAAGGUGAAAAAGUUACUUAGUUCUGCUUUAAAUCAAAACACCUAAAAGUAAAUGAGAUGCUAAUAAUAAAUAUAAAAAGUAGGUUCUGGAUCUAAUGAAAUAAGUGGUGGAUGUUGUUCUGAGGCCAACCCUGGGGUCAAACACAGGUUUAAUGGUGUAAAAUAGUGUAAAUGUGUGAUGUUUAAUAACAGGAUUAUUGAUCUCUCUCUCCUCCCUCUGAUUGGCUCGUAUCACUCAGGUGUUAUAAAACAUCAACUUUGGACCUGUUGCUCUCAGCUUUGGCUCCGCCCCACUUCCUUGUGUCCCAGCUUCUUGUCUGUGGUUAGUUAGUGGAGCAGGUGUGUAGUUUGGAACUGUUGUGUUUACACACUCAGAGACCAACAGCAUUUUCUUAGUUGCUCUCAAUGCUGCUGUUGCCCUUUGUUGCCUCGUUGCCCCACUUCACCUGCUGCGUUAGAGCUCACCUGUCCAUUCAGUGACACCACCUGACAGCUCAUCAUCUCAUGACGUGGAGAUGGAUCAGGACACGGUGAAGGAACAACAUGAGAUCCAGACUGAAGAUCAGAGGGAGCAGCUCACAUCUGGACCUGGACCCAGCUGUGUGUCCUUUAGAAGUGACCAGUCCAUGAUGGAACCCAUUGACUUCAAAGGAGGUCCAUCUACUGACCCACAACAUUAA
rnacentral:lncRNA from 1 species